GACGAACGCUGGCGGCGUGCCUAACACAUGCAAGUCGAACGGAAAGGCCCUGCUGUUGUGGGCUGCUCGAGUGGCGAACGGGUGAGUAACACGUGAGUAACCUGCCGUUGACUUUGGGAUAACGUCAGGAAACUGGGGGUAACACCGGAUAGGAGCUCCUGCUGCAUGGUGGUGGUUGGUAAGUUUCGGCGGUUGGGGAUGGACUCGCGGCUUAUCAGCUUGUUGGUGAGGUAGUGGCUUACCAAGGUGUUGACGGGUAGCCGGCCUGAGAGGGUGACCGGCCACAUUGGGACUCAGAUACGGCCCGGACUCCUACGGGAGGCAGCGGUGGAGAAUAUUGCACAAUAGGCGGAGGCCUGAUGCAGCAACGCCGCGUGCUGGAUGACGGCCGUCGGGGUGUAAACCGCUUUCGCGUGUAACGAAGCGUGAGUGACGGUAAUUGGUAAAGAAGCAACGGCUAACUACGUG
rnacentral:rRNA from 1 species